UGCGGGGAUAUAGCUCAGUGGUAGAGCAUUCGACUGCAGAUCGAGAGGUCCUUGGUUCGAAUCCGAGUGACUUAUUGCAG